rnacentral:lncRNA from 1 species
CUCUCGCACGGGCGGGCACAGCCGCUUCCCGCCGCGGGAAGAAGGGCGGGUGGUUUCUGGCCGGGCGGCAGCCACGCUGCCCUGUGGACCGGGGACUCCCAGUCGGCACAGAGGGUUCCGCCUACCCAGUGUAAGGGGGGAUUUUUGUGAGGCAAGCUGGUCGCCGAGACUGAAGUUGAAAGAGCUGCUAAAUCAUUCAUCUCUUCCGCCGUCAGGACCCGUCAGAUAGGUCCAAAGUCUGCCCUUGUGUCCAACGGCGGGGGAUACGUUGGUGCACACGUCCCAGCAGUGGGUGAAAAGUUAUUUAAAAGUACCUCUGACCGAUGCCAGAUAAAACCCUUCCUACACCCUGAAAAUCACACUGCUACAAUGUAGUGCUUGGUGUAGUAUAGCCCUGGCACCCCAAAUAGGUGCCUCUAAGUACCGCCUCCACCCGUGUGGAGCUCAGCCAUGGUGAAGAAGCGGUGCUGGAAAAGGGGCACACCAGAAGAAGCAGAAAAAAAAACUGACUUCUGCCAUUCCUGUUCAACUGCAGACCUCGCUGUUGUGUUGUACUUUCAUACCUGGGACAUCUCUUUGGAGCCGUUUAAACUCCUGGAUGUUUUAUGCCCACACUGAAAAUGCUGGAUACCUGUAUUUAUGAUGUGUGAUCUGAAACCUUACACCCCUUUUGUGUUUGGGAUUUCUGAGCAUGGUCUGUUCUUUGGCUUUUCUUUCUCACAAGACAGUGCAUUUCUCGAGUAAAAGUACUCAGCGAAAAGGGAAACACGCUGAAUUUAUUGUGCCUGUGAUAUAUUUCAUUUCUACUAUUAUUAAGGGUACACUUUAAGAGCACGAUGUGGUACUGGAAGGAUGAAAGUAGAAAGUUCCAUUUCAGUGGCUGAAGUGGGCAUGUUGUUAAAGCAGUACUUGUGUAGGUAGAGCCACAGCAAGGCAGAAAAGAGCAACUAUGAUGAGUCUAAGACAGUCCUUGGUUCUUUCUGAUUUCCAUCCAAUUCUUAAUCAUCCAGCGUCUUACAUUUGAUAAACAAAUACUUUUGACAACAACACUGAAAACUGAUAUUUUUUUCUCUUUUUUCUUUUUUUUUUUUUUUUCAUAAAGGUAUGCAGGCCAGCACAAUGCGGUUCAGUGCUCUUUAAGAACUGGAAGUGUUACAAUAUUCUGUGGUACUUGGAUGCCCAAGGGAAAGAGAUUUUUAUUAUCAUUGGUCACAGGACUGCCAAAUGUUAUCUCAUAAAUCUGUGUCUUUCACAAUGAAUGAGUGAUCUGCCAUUCUUCUUCAAAAAGAAGAGACUUCACUAAAUCAUCAGCAAACUUCAAG